GUAGUUAGCCGGUGCUUUCUUGUACGGUACCGUCAUUAUCGUCCCGUACGACAGGAGUUUACAAUCCGAAGACCUUCAUCCUUCACGCGGCGUCGCUGCAUCAGGCUUUCGCCCAUUGCCCAAUAUUCCCCACUGCUGCCUCCCGUAGGAGUUUGGACCGUGUCUCAGUCCCAGUGUGGCUGAUCAUCCUCUCAGACCAGCUACGGAUCGUCGCCUUGGUGAGCCGUUACCUCACCAACCAGCUAAUCCGACAUAGGCUCAUCCGAUAGCGCGAGGCCCGAAGGUCCCCCGNUUUCCCCCGUAGGGCGUAUGCGGUAUUAGCCUGGGUUUCCCCCAGGUUAUCCCCCACUACCGGGCAGAUUCCUAUGCAUUACUCACCCGUCCGCCGCUCGCCACCAGGGAGCAAGCUCCCCGUGCUGCCGCUCGACUUGCAUGUNUUAGGCCUGCCGCCACGCGUCACUCUGAGCCAGAAUACAAACUACUGA
rnacentral:rRNA from 1 species